rnacentral:rRNA from 2 species
UUAGCCUUACCGGUGGAUCACUCGGUUCGUGGAUCGAUGAAGAACGCAGCUAACUGCGAUAAUUUAUGUGAACUGCAGAAAUCUUGAGCAUAAAAGUUUUGAACGCAUAUUGCGGCAUUGGGGUCAAACCCUUUGGCACGUCUGGUUCAGGGUCAUUU